AGUCCGUGAUGUGGGCAUUGCCUAAACAUAUUUUUGAAUCUAUCUCAUGCCUCAAAUAAUGAUUCUGAAUCUGAUUGCUUGAAACUUGCUAUUAAAUUCCUCAUAUG